rnacentral:rRNA from 1 species
GAUGAACGCUGGCGGCGUGCCUAAUACAUGCAAGUAGAACGCUGAAGCUUGGUGCUUGCACCGAGCGGAUGAGUUGCGAACGGGUGAGUAACGCGUAGGUAACCUGCCUCUUAGCGGGGGAUAACUAUUGGAAACGAUAGCUAAUACCGCAUAAAAGUCGAUAUCGCAUGAUAUUGAUUUGAAAGGUGCAAUUGCAUCACUAAGAGAUGGACCUGCGUUGUAUUAGCUAGUUGGUGAGGUAACGGCUCACCAAGGCGACGAUACAUAGCCGACCUGAGAGGGUGAUCGGCCACACUGGGACUGAGACACGGCCCAGACUCCUACGGGAGGCAGCAGUAGGGAAUCUUCGGCAAUGGGGGCAACCCUGACCGAGCAACGCCGCGUGAGUGAAGAAGGUUUUCGGAUCGUAAAGCUCUGUUGUAAGAGAAGAACGAGUGUGAGAGUGGAAAGUUCACACUGUGACGGUAACUUACCAGAAAGGGACGGCUAACUACGUGCCAGCAGCCGCGGUAAUACGUAGGUCCCGAGCGUUAUCCGGAUUUAUUGGGCGUAAAGCGAGCGCAGGCGGUUAGAUAAGUCUGAAGUUAAAGGCUGUGGCUUAACCAUAGUACGCUUUGGAAACUGUUUAACUUGAGUGCAGAAGGGGAGAGUGGAAUUCCAUGUGUAGCGGUGAAAUGCGUAGAUAUAUGGAGGAACACCGGUGGCGAAAGCGGCUCUCUGGUCUGUAUCUGACGCUGAGGCUCGAAAGCGUGGGAGCAAACAUG